UGGGGAAUAUUGCACUAUGGGCGCAAGCCUGAUGCAGCCAUGCCGCGUGUAUGAAGAAGGCCUUCGGGGUGUAAAGUACUUUCAGCGGGGAGGAAGGGAGUAAAGUUAAUACCUUUGCUCCUUGACGUUACCCGCAGAAGAAGCACCGGCUAACUCCGUGCCAGCAGCCGCGGUAAUACGGAGGGUGCAAGCGUUAAUCGGAAUUACUGGGCGUAAAGCGCACGCAGGCGGUUUGUUAAGUCAGAUGUGAAAUCCCCGGGCUCAACCUGGGAACUGCAUCUGCUACUGGCAAGCUUGUGUCUCGUAGAGGGGAGUAGAAUUCCAGGUGUAGCGGUGAGAUGGGUAGAGAUCUGGAGGAAUACCGGUGGCGAGGGCGGCCCCCUGGACGAAGACUGACGCUCAGGUGCGAAAGCGUGGGGAGCAAACAGG
rnacentral:rRNA from 1 species